GCAGAAGGCGCCCUGUUGCCCACUGGAACAUGGGAAUGAGGUUACAGAACAAAGUGCAAACGACGUUUAAAAGUCACAAAGUACUAUCAGAACUCUGAGAAAAGGUGCUGUUUUGUGGUCUGGAUCACAGAUGGCGUGUUUCCCCACAGUCUGGACUCUGGGCACUCGGCGCACCAGGAGGUGUUUUCAUGGUCCCGCCCUGACGUGAUGCGUUAACUGGAACGUGGACUCAAAGACACAGAAGGUGACAGAAGAGAGGAGCCAUCAUUGGAGGGAACGAUGUGGCGCCUUGUGCUGGGUGGGUGUUGGGGAGGGGGGCAGGAGGUCCUAAGUCACCGAAGCCGCCAGGACGGGGUCACCACGCGGGACGCUGGCUUCUGCAUCCAUAUCACUUUAUGGUGACUUUCUGUGGGUGCUCGGUGCUGCUGGGAGGAGGUGCUGUUGGAAUCUGCUCCCCGAUUUUAGGAAGAGAUGACCUGCGACAGCAGAGGCGCUGUGUGCACUUCAGUGCCAGGGCAGCGGACCCCCAAGAGGCAGGAGGGGUACAUGAGAAGGACCGACUGCAGCAGGGCCAUGGCGGGGGGCUUACGCGGCAGCCCCCCUGGUGUGUCAGCUGGUGACUGAGAUUAUUCCCGUCGUGCCACAGGCUCCGGCCUGGGAAGCAGGGGCUGAUCUCUGGUCUCCGGGGGCCCUGAAUUGGGGCCACAUGUGCACUAUCCACGGAGGAAAUGAGUGCUUGGCACGCUGGAGAUUGUGUCAUGAUGAUAUCACGAGAAUAUCCAGUUUCCUCUCAUAUUCCAGAUGGAAAACAGUGAAAAACACUCUCCAAAGGCGUCACAGUUUGGGCACUCAGCUGGCAUGAACUAAUCUCCCGAACCCAGAGCACAGGAAUCAACACAGCUCCGGGGCUUCUCCCUGAGCCUCCGGCUUUGGGGUCCACGUUUCGCCCGGGAUCCGGAAGCCACAACCCACCUACUGGGCAGGUGUGUCUGAGCGCGGUCCAGGGCGCACGCGCCCUGUGCAGCCACCUUCGGGGACCCAGUGAGAGAGUAACUCAGGAGAGGUAGAUCUGUGUGGUCUCUGCAGGCAAAGCAAAUUGAGAGUCCAGUACAAGGCUUUGGGAAAGAGGAAAGGUCUUAGCAAAAAUAGCUUUUAUCUAUUUUGGGGAAAACAGCUUCCUCCUCAGUCUCAGAGCAAGAGGGGAGGAGAGGGCGCCGGGUCUGAGAGGCAGGCUAUGUCCCCACGUGGCACACAUGUGACAUUCUCAUGUCUGCAGCGACCUGUGCAGCCAGCGACCAUCUUAAACGGUGUUGCUUAUGGACGUGUCUUUCUUAUGGAGGGAGGUGACCGUGACUGUGUAAAAACAGCUUAUCACGCUCAAGCUUAUCAAAUGGCCCAUUUGAUAUUUUAAAGACUUGGUUGGGAUGGUAGAAAUACACUAUAUUUUUAAUUGUGAUUAUGAAAAAGUAUGAGUUUGUUCCCCUAGGUGACGAAAACAAUUCCUACUGUAUUUCACUAAAAUAAUUUUGAGUUCUUGAAUUUAAAGUAUUACUAUGCAUAUGUUAAUUUGGUUCCAGAACUAAAUAGUGACAACUAAUCAAUAAAAAAUAAAUGAAUAUU